rnacentral:rRNA from 1 species
AUACGGAGGGUGCAAGCGUUAUUCGGAAUUACUGGGCGUAAAGACGCGUGCAGGCGGGUGGGACAAGUCUGAUGUGAAAGCCCCGGGCUCAACCUGGGAAGUGCAUUGGAAACUGUUCAUCUUGAGUGCUGGAGAGGAAGGGGGAAUUCCCGGUGUAGAGGUGAAAUUCGUAGAGAUCGGGAGGAAUACCAGUGGCGAAGGCGCCCUUCUGGACGGCAACUGACGCUGAGACGCGAAAGCGUGGGGAGC